rnacentral:rRNA from 1 species
CGGAGGGAUCAUUACCGAGUUUACAACUCCCAAACCCCUGUGAACAUACCACUUGUUGCCUCGGCGGAUCAGCCCGCUCCCGGUAAAACGGGACGGCCCGCCAGAGGACCCCUAAACUCUGUUUCUAUAUGUAACUUCUGAGUAAAACCAUAAAUAAAUCAAAACUUUCAACAACGGAUCUCUUGGUUCUGGCAUCGAUGAAGAACGCAGCAAAAUGCGAUAAGUAAUGUGAAUUGCAGAAUUCAGUGAAUCAUCGAAUCUUUGAACGCACAUUGCGCCCGCCAGUAUUCUGGCGGGCAUGCCUGUUCGAGCGUCAUUUCAACCCUCAAGCACAGCUUGGUGUUGGGACUCGCGUUAAUUCGCGUUCCCCAAAUUGAUUGGCGGUCACGUCGAGCUUCCAUAGCGUAGUAGUAAAACCCUCGUUACUGGUAAUCGUCGCGGCCACGCCGUUAAACCCCAACUUCUGAAUGUUGACCUCGGAUCAGGUAGGAAUACCCGCUGAACUUAAGCAUAUCAAUAAGCGGAGGAAAAGAAACCAACAGGGAUUGCCCUAGUAACGGCGAGUGAAGCGGCAACAGCUCAAAUUUGAAAUCUGGCUCUCGGGCCCGAGUUGUAAUUUGUAGAGGAUACUUUUGAUGCGGUGCCUUCCGAGUUCCCUGGAACGGGACGCCAUAGAGGGUGAGAGCCCCGUCUGGUUGGAUGCCAAAUCUCUGUAAAGUUCCUUCAACGAGUCGAGUAGUUUGGGAAUGCUGCUCUAAAUGGGAGGUAUAUGUCUUCUAA